GGCCCCGUAGCUCAGGUGGAUAGAGCAGCAGUUUCCUAAACUGCGUGCCGCGUGUUCGAACCACGCCGGGGUCACCA
rnacentral:tRNA from 1 species